GGCAGGCGUCGGCUACCAUGCAGUCGAGCGGUAGCACAGAGGAGUUUGUUCCGUGGGUGACGAGCGGCGCACGGGUGAAAAGUGUGUGAAAAACUGCCUGAUGGGGGGAGAUAACUACUGAACGCGGUAUAUAACACCGCAUAACGUCUUCAGACCAAAGUGGGAGACCUUCGGCUCUUAUGCCAUCAUAUGUGCCCAGAUGAGAUUAUCUAAUAGGAGAGGUAGUGUCUCACCUACGCCACGAUCCCUAUGUGCUCUGAGAGUGUGACCACCCACUGUGAAACUGAGACACGGCCCAGACUCCUACGAGAGGCAGCAGGGGAAAAUAUUGCACUGUGGGCGCGAGCCUGAUGCACACGUGCCGCGUGUAUGAAAAAGGUCUUCGGUUUGUAAAGUUCUUUCAGUGAGGAGAAAGGUUUUGUGGUUAAUAACCGCAGUGAUUGACGUUUCUCGCAAAAAAAGCACCGUAUAACUCCGUGCCAACAGCCGCGAAAAUACGGAGGGCGCAAGUGUUAAUCGGAAUUAGUGGGUAUAGAGCGCACACGGGCGGUUUGUCAAGUCAUAUGUGAAAUCCCCGGUCUCCCCCUGAAAACUGUAUUCGACAGUGGAAAUCUAGAGUCUUGUAGAGGGGGAUAGAAUUCCAGGUGUAGCGGAGAAAUGCGUAGAGAUCUGGAAGAAUACCGGUGGAGAACGCGGCCCUGUGCACAAAGAGUGACUCUCGGGUGAGAAAGCGUGGAGAGCACACAAGAAUAUAUACUCUGAUACCCCACGCCGUACACGAUGUACACGUGGGGGGUGUGCUCGUGAGGUGUGUCUUCCCGGAUAUAACGCGAUAACUCCACCGUCUGGAGAGCACGCGCGCAAGGAUAAAACUCAUGUGAAUUGACGGAGUCCCGCACAAGCGGUGGAGCGUGUGUUUUAUUCUAUGCCACGAAAAAAUCUUAACAUACUCUUGAUCUCCAGAAAAUUUUCCGAGAGAUGUUUUAGC
rnacentral:rRNA from 1 species